rnacentral:lncRNA from 1 species
CUUUUAUCAUAGCAGGCAUACACACACAAGCACAUACACAAAUAUAUGUAUACACACAAAUAUACACAUAAAUACAUACAUACACACAUCAUAGCAUGCACACACACAAAUACAUACACAUACAAAUAAGCACACACAAAUAUACACAUAUACAAAUACACUCACGCACAGAUAUAUACAUACAAACAUACACACAUACACAAGUAUACACACCAUGGUAGGCAUACACACAAAUACAAAGAUACAUGAACACACACAAACAUAUACACCAUGGUAGUAGGUACACAUGUGCACACACACACCAUAGUAGACAAACACACAAAUGUACACACCAUAAUAAGCACACACGCACACACAUACACACACAAACACAGAGCCCUUUCAUCUUAGACCUUUGAAUAAAACAGCAAAAACUUUACAAAACUUUGUGAAAGAAAACCUGAUUUGGAGAUUCAACAGCAUGUGCCUAUGAGCAUCACCCUUUAACUGGCCAGCCAUCUUUCCAGCCCCCAUUGGUGUAUUUUAAAGGGGUAACGGGAAGUUUUCCAUGAUAAAAAGUCACUUAGCUGUAUCGCCAAGCCCAAAACAACAGACAGGAAAUAGUUGUAACAGAAGCCAUUUUUGAACAGGAAAAAAAAAGUAGAAAAAGAAAGAGAGAGGGAGAAAGCCCUAAAGACAGAGGGAAAACAUCCCGACUAACCAACUCAGCGACUAACCAACUAACCGACUAACCAUAAAGACAGAGGGAAAACACCCCGACUAACCGACUAACCGUAAGCUCACGCAAAGUUGAAAAGAAAUACUCUGGUUGUAUUUUGUCAGUCAAAUGUUUGCAAAUGUCAGGACUUUUUCUAAAUAUUUCCUGCUGUUAAUAGCAAAGAGGGUUCAGAUGCUGAAAAAAAAAAAAAGAAAAAGAAAAGAAAAACUUCAGCCCUUUCUUCUGCAUAUUCUUAAUUACAGCUGCUCCUUCCAGCUUCAGCAGGAGUCCACACUGUGUGGUAGGUGUUCACUGGGCAGCCCCAGGAGUCCACACUGUGAGGACCCAGAUGCUGAUGGACACCAGAAGAAACCUCUAUGUGGCUGCAUGCCAGGGGGCUCUGCCAGUCCCUGAGGGCAAAGGGGGUGCCAGCCUCAACUAGUUACAUGGUGUGCACAGCUGGAGGACAGUCUGGGGCUGCCUGAGUUGUCCCCUGUGGCCUUUAUUUUUUUUUUUUCCAUCAGAAGUAACUUUGGAGACAUCUGGCCAACCCCAGGUGAGGUGGCUGUUGAGGGCGAAGCUUGUGAACUCUCAACUCAGCUAACUGU